rnacentral:rRNA from 1 species
UACAGAGGUCCCAAGCGUUGUUCGGAUUCACUGGGCGUAAAGGGCUCGUAGGCGGUUUGUCGCGUCGGGAGUGAAAACCUCGGGCUUAACUCGGGGCUUGCUUUCGAUACGGGCAGACUGGAGGUAUGCAGGGGAGAACGGAAUUCCUGGUGUAGCGGUGAAAUGCGCAGAUAUCAGGAGGAACACCGGUGGCGAAGGCGGUUCUCUGGGCAUGACCUGACGCUGAGGAGCGAAAGUGUGGGGAGCGAACAGG